rnacentral:lncRNA from 1 species
AACCAAUAUUUUUUGAUUGAAAAAGCCAGAAAUUGAAGUCGAAUAACAAAAAGAAAAAUACAAAAACACAUAAAUAGAAAGUAAACUAUGAUAAUUUAAAACAAAAUUUAUAAUGAGAUUGUUUUCUAAAAACACCUAUUAAAGAUUCAAAGUGAGAGAAAAUAGUAGUGGUAGUACUUCUGGUUCUGGGUGUGCACAUUCACAGAAACAUGGAUUUCACAUGCUUAAUUUUUUAUUAUAUAUAAUCAUUGAUUUUAUUGCAAUUUCAAUUAAUUUUAGUGUUCUGGGUGCCACGAUGUUGUGGUGUGAUGGCAUAAUCAAAAUUUUAAAACUGAAAAAUAUUUUUCUAACAGAUUUCUUAGGCCACAUUUCUGAUUUUCUUAUUGUUAGUGUGAUCAAAUACAACAUCUGGUAUAAUGAAAAUUUUUACAAAUAAACAGUUACAAUAAAUUAUUUUUAAAUAAAUAUAUUGUCUUUUAUUUAACUUAGCACUAUAGAUUUGAUAAAUUAUUUUAUUUGGAUUUUGUUAUCAAUAUGGUGGCUAGUAGAAGAGAUAUGCACAGCGUUACUUUUUAUUCUUUUUAUCUUGGUGAAAAUUAUUUUUUAUUAGCAACAUACCACAUACUUCAUACUUUAAGCAAAAAAUGAAUAAAGUAGUGUUUCUGGGUGGGAAGGAAUUCCCGCACGUUCUUGGGAAUUUUUUUCAUUUUCCCAUUUCCGAAUUCCAAGAAAAGUUGGUCGGAAAAUUGGGAAAAUUGACUCCUAGAACCCAGUAAUAUCCACAAUGGGAAAUAAACGUACUACUCAUAGUGUAUAUUUUAGACAUUUUCCCCAUUUACUGCUAUGUAAAGUUAUAUUAUUACAAUAUUACACACUGCAGAAAUGCACGCGUGAUACCAGAAUCAGAUAACGCACGACCAGCUAAUUUUAGCGCUUGUAAAUAGAGCAUGUUUGAUUGUGGAGAACAGAAAACAGUGUUUGUUUUUAUUUACACAAAAAAAUAUUUUCACAACUCUAGAUUUGAUUACAAAAUCAUCUUUGGAUGAACUAAGGAAAUGCAAGAUAACUUACCUAAAUAUGAAAUUGUAAUCAAAUCCCACAUUGAGAAAAUAAAUAUUUCUCUAUAUAAAAACAGUUUUCCCAAUGAAUCAUUUUUACCAAGUGACAGCCAAUACUACCAACCACAUUCAAUCAGUUGGUGGCUGACCAUGGUGAUGUAUGUUAUAUAUUGCGUGAUAUAUGUAAAAACUUAAUAGAAGGUUUGGUUAAAUAAAGUUUGAAUUAAUUAUAUUUCGGGUUUUCUCAAAAUAUAAACAGAAACUUGGCCAAAAUGAUAGCGUAGUGACACCCCUGUUUAGCACUGGGGGGGUGAGAGAUGCGCUAGUCACGAAAUUCCGGUCAACCUCCAUUUAAGGAAUUUUAUUUACUCAUUUUUUGCUUCGACCUUUUACAUGUAGGAGUAUCUCUCAACCUCCAAAAGAUUUUGCUAGGACCACCAAUCCCAGUGGCCCCACCUUCUCUAUCGCUCUUCUGUUUAUUAAUAUUUACUGUUAUAGCCAUUAUUACAGAUUAUUACAGAUGAUUGAUCAACAAAAAUUAAAUAAAAAAGAUUAUUUUGGGAAUUUGGAAACACUAGAAGUAAUUGACCAAUUUCAGCUCCGCCCUCUUUUUUCCCAGCAUUCCAGCGUUAUUUCCAACAUAGCUGCCAUAGGACGUAAAACAGUCAAUCUUUAUCGGUAUGUGAGUGUUUAUAAAAAAUAUAUAAUGGUCUUUUAUUGUUGCGUGUUUGAAUGCACGAACUUGCAAGGUAGAGAUGAUGUAUCUUUCCACCUAUUUCCAAAGGAUAA